CUUGUAGACUACUAGGGUCAGUGAGUGCAGACUGUAACUACAACCUCCUGCACUGAAGUUGUUAUAGUCUUAAGCCUUUCUAAGAAAAACAAUUGGCCUGCCUAGUUUGUCUCUCAACACUUUUUGGAUCAUUACCGAAUUUUCGAAGUGUAGUAGUGCCGAAGUGCCGAAUUGCUGGUGCCGAAGUUCCGAAGUUGCCGAAGUUCCGAGGUGUCAAAGUGCCGAAGCACAGUAUUGCCCAAGUAUUAAUAUACUUACCCAGUGAAAGAAGAAGAAUGUUACAAUGUAUACAAUUUCAAAUAAAAAGUAUACAAACAUAGCCAGGAUUCAGCUGUAAGCAUUUGCAACACUUACAACAAUCAAG